UACGUAGGGGGCGAGCGUUGUCCGGAGUUACUGGGCGUAAAGGGCAUGCAGGCGGUCAGGCGCGUUUUGUGUGACAGCGGAUGGCUUAACUGUCCGAGGAUACGAAAGACGGCGUGACUUGAGAGCGCGAGAGGGACACGGAAUUCCGGGUGGAGUGGUGAAAUGCGUAGAGAUCCGGAGGAACACCGAAGGCGAAGGCAGUGUCCUGGCGCGUAUCUGACGCUGAGGUGCGAAAGCCAGGGGAGCGAACGGG
rnacentral:rRNA from 1 species